UUGCGACACGUUCCGGCCGCUUCUGGGCUGAGCCUAGAUCACGUGGCACAAACAUGUCUGCCCCCAAUUGGUUGUUGCCAUCUUUGAGGCUCGUACAAUGAGAAGGACGGCGCCAUGUUGAAUCCGCAAACCGCUGUCUCAGCCAUCGCCCCCUCUUCCCCCGCUCCCGCGUUCCCCCCGGAAUAAUGAAUGCCGCGGAAGGGAGGACGAGAGUAAACUGGCUCUUCCAGUAGUGUCCGUCUGCAGAAGGCACUGAUCAGUCAACUAAGUAGUCCUACUGUGUGCCCUGAGCUGUUCAGGAUCAAACAAAGCAUGCAUGCUCUAGGAACAGGCUUUUUCAGGGAGAGGUCUCUGAGUAAUGGGAGCUAAAAGAGUGGUUAUUUGACAGACUUACAUUGUGUUGAGGAAGGGUACCCAUAUUUAUUGAGCGCCCACCAUGCCUUUGUACUACACCUUUGGAUCAUCUCCAUUUGUCCUUAGUUUAAUCACUUAAGGAAAGAUUAUUUUCACCCUUUUGGGAACAGGGAACAGAGACCUGCUACAGGUGGGUUUGACCUAGCUCACACAGUAAGUAGUAGAGUGAGAUGUGAACCAAGGGAGGUUGGACGUUAAUGUGCAUGAUCUAGUCGACUGAAAAUGAUGUACCAAUUGUGUAACAGAGUGAUAGACAUUACCAGAACAUUUCUUCUGGUCCAAGAAAAUGGAAAACCAGUGUAACCCAACUAACAUGAGGUCACUCCUUAGUGAGUCACAGAUGUACCAGGUGGAGUUGUCUCACAAAGUAAACUUUAUUUGCAGCAAAUAAGGAGAUCGCUGGGAAUAACUUCCAAAUCCGUGGCUCACAGAGCAAAGGCAAAUGGAUUCCUUUUAUUUAGGGUUAGGAUGAAUAUUUAGAUAAGGGAGCCUUGUCAUCUUAUGUAGAGGCGAGCAAAAGGAGGUGCAUGUGCCUUAAGGAAACAUGCCUAUACAUACACUGUAUGUUAUGUAUAUGAGGCUUGUGCUCUUCCUUGGGUGGAGAUUUUACAGUUACGAUGAGGUAAAGGUAAGUCUUGGUCAGUCUGUGGGCCACUCCAUGGUCCAUCUGCAUAGGUGUGAGUAGGGGGUUAAGUUCAAGCUGGUCUGGGUGGUCUGGGCAGUUGUUAUUGCUUGAGGAGUAUUGUUUGUUUGUUUGUUUUUUAGAGAUUGUAUUUAUUUAUUUGACGGAGAGAGAGUGCACACAAGUUGGCAGAGUGGCAGGCAGAGGGAGGGGGAGAAACAGGGCUCCCAGCUGAGCAGACAGCCCGAUGCAGCUCUAUCCCAGGACCCUGAGGUCAUGACCUGGGCCGAACGCAGACGCUUAACUAACUGAGCCACCCAGGCACCCCGACUGAGGGGUAUUUUGGUUUCCAUCAGGGAACGUUAUGCCCCUCAGGUCUUUGCCUGAGUUAAAAGAUAAGCUAGAAAGAAGAGCCUAAGGAAAAAUGUGGGACAAAGGUCAAUGAGUACAAUAAGCAGGUAGGCAUAAAGGUCAGGCUUUGGAGUCCAGCUGGUGACAACAGCUCAAGACUCCCUGAGCUUACUGUCAAAGGUGAGGCAAUAAAGUUGUACACUGUAAAGCUCUUAAGAGGGUGGGACACCCUAUCAAAGACCCGCCCCAUCUAAACACAUUAAGAUCAACUCGGAACUUUAUCUCCAUCUUCAACAACAUGCUCUUCUCAUAGUCUUUUCCUGUCUUGGUUCAUGAAAACUUCAUUCUUUCAGUUGCACAUUCUAAAAAACUUUGGAAUCAUUCUGUCUCCUGUAGCGGGUUGAAUAGUGACCCGCAAAAAGAUAAGCCUACAUCCUGGACCCUGUGGAUGUGACCUGAUUUGGAAAAAGGGUAUUUGCAAAUAUAAUUAAGGAUCUUUUUUUUUUUUUUUAAGAUUUUAUUUAUUUAUUUGACAGAGAGACCGCGCAAGAGAGGGAACACAAGCAGGGGGAGUGGGAGAGGGAGAAGCAGGCUUCCCACAGAGCAGGGAGCCCAAUGUGUGGCUCGAUCCCAGAACCCUGGGAUCAUGACUUGAGCCGAAGGCAGACACUUAACGACUGAGCCACCCAGACACCCCUGUAAUUAAGGAUCUUGAGAUGAGAACAUCCUGGAUUAUCCACGUGGGUCCUACAUCCAAUGACAAGUGUCUUUAGAAGAUACACACAGUGUCAGAGAGUACAAACACACAGAGAAAAGAAGUCCCUGUGAAGAUGGAGUCAGAGAUUUGAAUGCAAGAGGAGUGAGAAAUGAGGGACCCGGGUUAGGCAGUUGCCUUCCAGCAACAGCUGUUUGCUAUAGAAGUGGAAGAAUAAACUGCAGUGGACAGCUUUCUGCCCCUGCCACAAAUACAGCACGAUAUAUACUACAUAAAGGAAGCAAAGGCGUGAAGAUGGCCCAGGAGAGACACCUGAUGUAGCCUACGAGACAGAGUGGUCAUGGGGCCCAGAGGAGGCAGUGCUGAGGUGACUAUUGAAGGGGACCAGGAAUUCAAAUGGAGCACAGCGUGCCUGAUUUAUCUCUACUCCAUGAUGUCUUGGACCUCAGCUUAAAGACACAAAGCUAGAUGCUAGAAUCAUCUGAAGUCUCGCCUGGGGCUAGAGAAUCCGUUUCCAACGUGGUUCACUCACAUGACGGGCAAACUGGUACUUGACAAAUUGGUUUCUUUCCACAUGGGCCAUUCCAUAGGGCUGUUUGAUUGUCCUUAUGACAUGGCAGCUGACUCCUUCCUGAGAAAACAACCCAAAGGACCAAGGUAGAAGCUGUAAUGUGUGAUAUGUCCAAGCUUCAGAAGUCAUACACCAUGACCUCUACAGAAUUCUACUAGCCAUACAGUUCAGCUUUGAUUCAGUGUGAGAGGAAACUACAGAAGGAAAUGAACACCAGGAGAGAGAGUGAGAGAGCACAAGCAGGGGAACAGCAGAGGGAGAGGGAGAAGCAGGCUCCCCGCCAAGCAGGGAGCCCAAUGCAGGACUCGAUCCCAGGACCCCAGGAUCAUGACCUGAGCCGAAGGCAGACGCUUAACCAUCUGAGCCACCCAGGCGCCCCGAUUUAAAAAUUUUUUAAUUUAUUUUUUAAAGGAAAACUUUCUAUCACCAUUAUGAGGUGAAAAUGAGUCUCUCUUAACAUGUAAAGAUAACUCUCAAAAUAAGCAUAAUUAAACGUUGUUGAGUUAUAACUAAGUAUUGUCUGCUGAAGACGUUGAGCAUGAAGCCUGCUGUUUGUU